rnacentral:rRNA from 1 species
AUUGAACGCUGGCGGCAGGCCUAACACAUGCAAGUCGAACGAGUGGCGGACGGGUGAGUAAUGUCUGGGAAACUGCCUGCUGGAGGGGGAUAACUACUGGAAACGGUAGCUAAUACCGCAUACCAUCAGCUGUGCCCAGAUGGGAUUAGCUAGUUGGUGGGGUAAAGGCCUACCAAGGCGACGAUCAGUAGCGGGUCUGAGAGGACGACCGGCCAAACUGGGACUGAGACACGGCCCAGACUUCUACGGGAGGCAGCAGUGGGGAAGUUUGGACAAUGGGGGCAACCCUGAUCCAGCCAUGCCGCGUGUAUGAAGAAGGCCUUCGGGUUGUAAAGUACUUUCAGCGGGGAGGCGUUACCCGCAGAAGAAGCACCGGCUAACUCCGUGCCAGCAGCCGCGGUAAUUC